GAGCGGCGGACGGGUGAGUAAUGCCUAGGAAUCUGCCUGGUAGUGGGGGAUAACGCUCGGAAACGGACGCUAAUACCGCAUACGUCCUACGGGAGAAAGCAGGGGACCUUCGGGCCUUGCGCUAUCAGAUGAGCCUAGGUCGGAUUAGCUAGUUGGUGAGGUAAUGGCUCACCAAGGCGACGAUCCGUAACUGGUCUGAGAGGAUGAUCAGUCACACUGGAACUGAGACACGGUCCAGACUCCUACGGGAGGCAGCAGUGGGGAAUAUUGGACAAUGGGCGAAAGCCUGAUCCAGCCAUGCCGCGUGUGUGAAGAAGGUCUUCGGAUUGUAAAGCACUUUAAGUUGGGAGGAAGGGCAUUUACCUAAUACGUAAGUGUUUUGACGUUACCGACAGAAUAAGCACCGGCU
rnacentral:rRNA from 1 species